AGAGUUUGAUUCUGGCUCAGGACGAACGCUAGCGGCGUGCCUAACACAUGCAAGUCGAGCGAAUGAAGUUCCUUCGGGAACGGAUUUAGCGGCGGACGGGUGAGUAACACGUGGGCAACCUGCCUCAUAGAGGGGAAUAGCCUUCUGAAAGGGAGAUUAAUACCGCAUAAGAUUGUAGUACCGCAUGGUACAGCAAUUAAAGGAGCAAUCCGCUAUGAGAUGGGCCCGCGGCGCAUUAGCUAGUUGGUGAGGUAACGGCUCACCAAGGCGACGAUGCGUAGCCGACCUGAGAGGGUGGACGGCCACACUGGGACUGAGACACGGCCCAGACUCCUACGGGAGGCAGCAGUGGGGAAUAUUGCGCAAUGGGGGAAACCCUGACGCAGCGACGCCGCGUGAGCGAAGAAGGCCUUAGGGUCGUAAAGCUCUGUUUUAAGGGACGAAUAUCCUUAGUAGUAACUGACUAAGGAAUGACGGUACCUUAAGAGAAAGCCCCGGCUAACUACGUGCCAGCAGCCGCGGUAAGACGUAGGGGGCGAGCGUUGUCCGGAAUUACUGGGCGUAAAGAGCACGUAGGCGGGAUUUUAAGUCAGGUGUGAAAGACCGUGGCUCAACCACGGGGUUGCACAUGAAACUGGAAUUCUUGAGGGCAGGAGAGGAAAGUGGAAUUCCUGGUGUAGCGGUGAAAUGCGUAGAAAUCAGGAGGAACACCGGUGGCGAAGGCGACUUUCUGGACUGACCCUGACGCUGAGGUGCGAAAGCGUGGGUAGCAAACAGGAUUAGAUACCCUGGUAGUCCACGCCGUAAACGAUGAGUGCUAAGUAUCGGUAGAUUCGGUGCUUAAGCUAACGCAGUAAGCACUCCACCUGGGGAGUACGGUCGCAAGAUUAAAACUCAAAGGAAAAGACGGGGGCCCGCACAAGCGGUGGAGUAUGUGGUUUAAUUCGAUGCAACGCGAAGAACCUUACCUGGUCUUGACAUCCCGGGAAUUCCUAGGAAACUAGGAAGUGCCUUCAUCCGAAGGAACCUGGAGACAGGUGCUGCAUGGCUGUCGUCAGCUCGUGUCGUGAGAUGUUGGGUUAAGUCCCGCAACGAGCGCAACCCCCGCCUUUAGUUGCCAGCAGUUCGGCUGGGCACUCUAAAGGGACUGCCGGUGUCAAACCGGAGGAAGGUGGGGAGGACGUCAAGUCCUCAUGGCCUUUAUGACCAGGGCUACACACGUACUACAAUGGCCGAUACAAAGGGCAGCGACACUGCGAGGUGAAGCCAAUCCCAUAAAAUCGGUCUCAGUCCGGAGUGGAGUGUGCAACUCGACUCCACGAAGUCGGAAUCGCUAGUAAUCGCGGAUCAGCAUGCCGCGGUGAAUAAGUUCCCGGGCCUUGUACACACCGCCCGUCA
rnacentral:rRNA from 1 species